UAGAAUUAUAUCUUUUGAGCCCAAUAUGACUGUAGGUAAAUCAGUAGGUGGUUAUUAUGCUUACUUUGAAAUAGUGUUCAUGAAAGAUAAUGUUUGGAAUUAUCUUGAAGAUAAGGAACAAGAA